GACGAACGCUGGCGGCGUGCUUAACACAUGCAAGUCGAACGGAAAGGCCCUGCUUUUGUGGGUUGCUCGAGUGGCGAACGGGUGAGUAACACGUGAGUAACCUGCCCUUGACUUUGGGAUAACUUCAGGAAACUGGGGCUAAUACCGGAUAGGAUCUCCUGAUGCAUGGUGGGGGUUGGAAAGUUUCGGCGGUUGGGGCUGGACUCGCGGCUUAUCAGCUUGUUUGUGGGGUAGUGGCUUACCAAGGCUUUGACGGGUAGCCCGCCUGAGAGGGUUACCGGCCACAUGGGGCCUGAGAUACGGCGCAGAAUCGUACGGGAGGCAGCAGUGGGGAAUCUUACACAAUGGGCGGAAGCCUGAUGCAGCAACGCCGCGUGCGGGAUGACGGCUUUCGGGGUGUAAACAGAUUUCGAAUGUGACGAAGAGUGAGUGACGGUAAUGGGUAAAGAAGCCCCGGCUAACUACGUG
rnacentral:rRNA from 1 species